GACGAACGCUGGCGGCGUGCCUAAUACAUGCAAGUCGAGCGCAGGAAGCCGUCUGAACCCUUCGGGGGGACGACGGUGGAAUGAGCGGCGGACGGGUGAGUAACACGUAAAGAACCUGCCCAUAGGUCUGGGAUAACCACGAGAAAUCGGGGCUAAUACCGGAUGUGUCAUCGGACCGCAUGGUCCGCUGAUGAAAGGCGCUCCGGCGUCGCCCAGGGAUGGCUUUGCGGUGCAUUAGCUAGUUGGUGGGGUAACGGCCCACCAAGGCGACGAUGCAUAGCCGACCUGAGAGGGUGAUCGGCCACACUGGGACUGAGACACGGCCCAGACUCCUACGGGAGGCAGCAGUAGGGAAUCUUCCACAAUGGACGAAAGUCUGAUGGAGCAACGCCGCGUGAACGAUGAAGGCUUUCGGGUCGUAAAGUUCUGUUGUAAGGGAAGAACAAGUGCCGCAGGCAAUGGCGGCACCUUGACGGUACCUUGCGAGAAAGCCACGGCUAACUACGUGCCAGCCGCCGCUGUAA
rnacentral:rRNA from 1 species